rnacentral:rRNA from 1 species
AACGCGAAGAACCUUACCGGGGCUUGACAUCCCGCGCUAUCCUAGGAGACUAGGUUUCCGGGCAACCGGACGCGGAGACAGGUGCUGCAUGGCUGUCGUCAGCUCGUGCCGUGAGGUGUUGGGUUAAGUCCCGCAACGAGCGCAACCCUUGCCGUGUGUUGGUCGCAAGAUCUCUCACGCGGGACCGCCGGUGACAAGCCGGAGGAAGGUGGGGAUGACGUCAAGUCAGCAUGGCCCUUACGUCCCGGGCUACACACGUGCUACAAUGGAAUGGACAACGGGAAGCAAGACUGUAAAGUGGAGCAAAUCCCCCAAAAACCGGGCCCAGUUCAGAUUGUCGUCUGCAACUCGACGACAUGAAGCUGGAAUCGCUAGUAAUGGCGCAUCAGCUACGGCGCCGUGAAUACGUUCCCGGGCCUUGUACACACCGCUACGUC